rnacentral:rRNA from 1 species
UACAGAGGGUGCAAGCGUUGUUCGGAAUUAUUGGGCGUAAAGCGCGUGUAGGCGGCUAUGCAAGUCGGGUGUGAAAGCCCUCGGCUCAACCGAGGAAGAGCGCCCGAAACUGCAAGGCUUGAGUACCGGAGAGGGUGGCGGAAUUCCCCAAGUAGAGGUGAAAUUCGUAGAUAUGGGGAGGAACACCGGUGGCGAAGGCGGCCACCUGGACGGAUACUGACGCUGAGACGCGAAAGCGUGGGGAGCAAACAGG